AUAUACACUGUGAAAAAGAUUAGUAAUUUUAAUGUUUUUUAAGAGAGAUGAUGGAUGCUGAAAAUCAUUAUGAUAUUAAAAUGAAUGGAACUUUUGAGUGUAAUUAGAAAAAAGAAAGUUGGGCUUAAGCCAAGAAGGGUGGAACCGCGGAAUUAAUAUUUCGUCCCUUUA
rnacentral:ncRNA from 1 species